CCCAAGGGUUUGGCUGUUCGCCAAUUAAAGCGGUACGCGAGCUGGGUUCAGAACGUCGUGAGACAGUUCGGUCCCUAUCCUGUGCGGGCGUAAGAUAUUUGAGGAGACCCGUUCUUAGUACGAGAGGACCGGAACGCCUAGACCUAUGGUGUAUCAGUUGUCGCACCAGCGGCAUUGCUGAGUAGCUAUGUCUAGAAAGGAUAAGUGCUGAAAGCAUCUCAAGCACGAAACCUACUCCAAGAUUAUAUAUCUCAUCCUUCGGGAGUAAGAACCCUAGAAGAUGACUAGGUUGAUAGGCUUUAAGUGUAAGCGUGGCAACAUGUUUAGCUAAGAAGUACUAAUUGUUCGAGGGCUUACCGUAACAU
rnacentral:rRNA from 1 species